rnacentral:rRNA from 1 species
UGGGGAAUAUUGCACAAUGGGCGAAAGCCUGAUGCAGCGACGCCGCGUGAGUGAAGAAGUAUUUCGGUAUGUAAAGCUCUAUCAGCAGGGAAGAAAAUGACGGUACCUGACUAAGAAGCCCCGGCUAACUACGUGCCAGCAGCCGCGGUAAUACGUAGGGGGCUAGCGUUGUCCGGAAUCACUGGGCGUAAAGGGUUCGCAGGCGGAAAUGCAAGUCAGGUGUAAAAGGCAGUAGCUUAACUACUGUAAGCAUUUGAAACUGCAUAUCUUGAGAAGAGUAGAGGUAAGUGGAAUUUUUAGUGUAGCGGUGAAAUGCGUAGAUAUUAAAAAGAAUACCGGUGGCGAAGGCGACUUACUGGGCUCAUUCUGACGCUGAGGAACGAAAGCGUGGGUAGCAAACAGG